rnacentral:rRNA from 1 species
GAUUGAAGGCUGAAAUUCGCCUUCAUGAAGCUGGAAUUGCUAGUAAUGGCAGGUCAGCAUACUGCCGUGAAUACGUUCCCGGGCCUUGUACACACCGCCCGUCAAGCCAUGGGAGCCGGGGGUGCCUGAAGUUCGUGACCGCAAGGAGCGACCUAGGGCAAAACUGGUGACUGGGGCUAAGUCGUAACAAGGUAGC